rnacentral:rRNA from 1 species
UUAAGCGACUAAGCGUACACGGUGGAUGCCCUGGCAGUCAGAGGCGAUGAAGGACGUGCUAAUCUGCGAAAAGCGUCGGUAAGGUGAUAUGAACCGUUACAGCCGGCGAUGUCCGAAUGGGGAAACCCAGUGCAAUUCGUUGCACUAUCGUUAACUGAAUACAUAGGUUAACGAGGCGAACCGGGGGAACUGAAACAUCUAAGUACCCCGAGGAAAAGAAAUCAACCGAGAUUCCCCCAGUAGCGGCGAGCGAACGGGGAGCAGCCCAGAGUCUGAAUCAGCUUGUGUGUUAGUGGAACGGUCUGGAAAGUCCGACGGUACAGGGUGAUAGUCCCGUACACCAAAAUGCACAGGCUGUGAACUCGAAGAGUAGGGCGGGACACGUGGUAUCCUGUCUGAAUAUGGGGGGACCAUCCUCCAAGGCUAAAUACUCCUGACUGACCGAUAGUGAACCAGUACCGUGAGGGAAAGGCGAAAAGAACCCCGGCGAGGGGAGUGAAAAAGAACCUGAAACCGUGUACGUACAAGCAGUGGGAGCACCUUCGGGUGUGACUGCGUACCUUUUGUAUAAUGGGUCAGCGACUUAUAUUCUGUAGCAAGGUUAACCGUAUAGGGGAGCCGCAGGGAAACCGAGUCUUAACUGGGCGUUAAGUUGCAGGGUAUAGACCCGAAACCCGGUGAUCUAGCCAUGGGCAGGUUGAAGGUUGGGUAACACUAACUGGAGGACCGAACCGACUAAUGUUGAAAAAUUAGCGGAUGACUUGUGGCUGGGGGUGAAAGGCCAAUCAAACCGGGAGAUAGCUGGUUCUCCCCGAAAGCUAUUUAGGUAGCGCCUCGUGAACUCAUCUUCGGGGGUAGAGCACUGUUUCGGCUAGGGGGUCAUCCCGACUUACCAACCCGAUGCAAACUACGAAUACCGAAGAAUGUUAUCACGGGAGACACACGGCGGGUGCUAACGUCCGUCGUGAAGAGGGAAACAACCCAGACCGCCAGCUAAGGUCCCAAAGUCAUGGUUAAGUGGGAAACGAUGUGGGAAGGCACAGACAGCCAGGAUGUUGGCUUAGAAGCAGCCAUCAUUUAAAGAAAGCGUAAUAGCUCACUGGUCGAGUCGGCCUGCGCGGAAGAUGUAACGGGGCUAAACCAUGCACCGAAGCUGCGGCAGCGACACUAUGUGUUGUUGGGUAGGGGAGCGUUCUGUAAGCCUGCGAAGGUGUGCUGUGAGGCAUGCUGGAGGUAUCAGAAGUGCGAAUGCUGACAUAAGUAACGAUAAAGCGGGUGAAAAGCCCGCUCGCCGGAAGACCAAGGGUUCCUGUCCAACGUUAAUCGGGGCAGGGUGAGUCGACCCCUAAGGCGAGGCCGAAAGGCGUAGUCGAUGGGAAACAGGUUAAUAUUCCUGUACUUGGUGUUACUGCGAAGGGGGGACGGAGAAGGCUAUGUUAGCCGGGCGACGGUUGUCCCGGUUUAAGCAUGUAGGCUGGUUAUCCAGGCAAAUCCGGAUAAUCAAGGCUGAGGUGUGAUGACGAGGCACUACGGUGCUGAAGUAACAAAUGCCCUGCUUCCAGGAAAAGCCUCUAAGCAUCAGGUAACAUCAAAUCGUACCCCAAACCGACACAGGUGGUCAGGUAGAGAAUACCAAGGCGCUUGAGAGAACUCGGGUGAAGGAACUAGGCAAAAUGGUGCCGUAACUUCGGGAGAAGGCACGCUGGUGUGUAGGUGAAGCCCCUGCGGGUGGAGCUGAGACCAGUCGAAGAUACCAGCUGGCUGCAACUGUUUAUUAAAAACACAGCACUGUGCAAACACGAAAGUGGACGUAUACGGUGUGACGCCUGCCCGGUGCCGGAAGGUUAAUUGAUGGGGUUAUCCGUAAGGAGAAGCUCUUGAUCGAAGCCCCGGUAAACGGCGGCCGUAACUAUAACGGUCCUAAGGUAGCGAAAUUCCUUGUCGGGUAAGUUCCGACCUGCACGAAUGGCGUAAUGAUGGCCAGGCUGUCUCCACCCGAGACUCAGUGAAAUUGAACUCGCUGUGAAGAUGCAGUGUACCCGCGGCAAGACGGAAAGACCCCGUGAACCUUUACUAUAGCUUGACACUGAACAUUGAGCCUUGAUGUGUAGGAUAGGUGGGAGGCUUUGAAGCGUGGACGCCAGUCUGCGUGGAGCCAACCUUGAAAUACCACCCUUUAAUGUUUGAUGUUCUAACGUUGGCCCCUUACCGGGGUUGCGGACAGUGUCUGGUGGGUAGUUUGACUGGGGCGGUCUCCUCCCAAAGCGUAACGGAGGAGCACGAAGGUUAGCUAAUCCUGGUCGGACAUCAGGAGGUUAGUGCAAUGGCAUAAGCUAGCUUGACUGCGAGCGUGACGGCGCGAGCAGGUGCGAAAGCAGGUCAUAGUGAUCCGGUGGUUCUGAAUGGAAGGGCCAUCGCUCAACGGAUAAAAGGUACUCCGGGGAUAACAGGCUGAUACCGCCCAAGAGUUCAUAUCGACGGCGGUGUUUGGCACCUCGAUGUCGGCUCAUCACAUCCUGGGGCUGAAGUAGGUCCCAAGGGUAUGGCUGUUCGCCAUUUAAAGUGGUACGCGAGCUGGGUUUAGAACGUCGUGAGACAGUUCGGUCCCUAUCUGCCGUGGGCGCUGGAGAAUUGAGGGGGGCUGCUCCUAGUACGAGAGGACCGGAGUGGACGCAUCACUGGUGUUCGGGUUGUCAUGCCAAUGGCACUGCCCGGUAGCUAAAUGCGGAAGAGAUAAGUGCUGAAAGCAUCUAAGCACGAAACUUGCCCCGAGAUGAGUUCUCCCUGAGACUUUAAGUCUCCUGAAGGAACGUUGAAGACGACGACGUUGAUAGGCCGGGUGUGUAAGCGCAGCGAUGCGUUGAGCUAACCGGUACUAAUGAACCGUGAGGCUUAACCUU